GAUGAACGCUAGCGGCAGGCCUAACACAUGCAAGUCGAGGGGCAGCAUAAAAUAAACUUGUUUAUUUGGUGGCGACCGGCGCACGGGUGCGUAACGCGUAUGCAACCUACCUUAUACUGGGGAAUAGCCCGAAGAAAUUCGGAUUAAUGCCCCAUAGCACUGAGACUUCUCCUGAGGAUUCAGUUAAAGCUUUGGCGGUAUAAGAUGGGCAUGCGUCCAAUUAGCUAGAUGGUGAGGUAACGGCUCACCAUGGCGACGAUUGGUAGGGGGCCGGAGAGGGUGGUCCACCACGCUGGUACUUAGACACAGACCAGACUCCUACGGGAGGCAGCAGUGAGGAAUAUUGGUCAAUGGGCGCAAGCCUGAACCAGCCAUGCCGCGUGAAGGAUGAAGGUUCUAUGGUGUGUAAACUGCUUUUAUACGGGAAGAAACACUCCUACGUGUAGGAACUUGACGGUACCGUAAGAAUAAGGAUCGGCUAACUUCGUGCCAGCCGCCGCGGUAAUAC
rnacentral:rRNA from 1 species